AGUCCGUGAUGCGUGACAAUAU
rnacentral:miRNA from 1 species